CGACCGGCGCACGGGUGAGUAACACGUAUGGAACCUGCCCGCAGCAGGGGGAUAAGCGGAAGAAAUUCCGUCUAAUACCGCGUAACACCGCAGAGGGGCAUCCCUCGGCGGUUAAAGAUUCAUCGGCUGCGGAUGGCCAUGCGGCGCAUUAGCUAGUCGGCGGGGUAACGGCCCACCGAGGCGACGAUGCGUAGGGGUUCUGAGAGGAAGGUCCCCCACACUGGCACUGAGACACGGACCAGACUCCUACGGAAGGCAGCAG
rnacentral:rRNA from 1 species